AUUGAUUUUUUGAACAAUUUCAAAGAAACGAUGAGAUCCAAAUUUAACAUGAAAGAUUUGGGCAAAAUAAAUUAUUUUUUAGGUAUACAUUUUAAGCAAGAAGAAGAUGAAAUUAAAAUGAGCCAAAAGAAAUACGUCCUGAAAGUGUUGGAAAAAUACAGAAUGUCAGAUUCCAAACCGAGAUCCACCCCAUGUGAGCAAAGUGCUAAUUUAAAUGAAAAUAAUGGGGAUGACAAAACAAACACUGUAAAUCCUACACACUAUCGUGAGAUAGUAGGUAGUCUGAUUUAUGCAAUGACCUGCACCAGACCAGACAUCAGUUGGGUAGUGAGUAAACUAUCCCAAACAUUAGCUAAACCUGCGACAGAAGACCUGGUGAAUGCUAAACAUGUUUUAAGAUACCUCAAAGGUACAUGUGACUAUGAGCUAACAUUCAAGAAAAACAACGAAGACUUGAACCUCAUUGCAUACAGUGACUCGGACUGGGCAUCCUCAGUUGAGGACAGACGCAGCACCACAGGCUAUUGUUUUAGCUUAACAUCACAAGGUCCAGCUAUUUCUUGGAAAUCCAGGAAACAGCCAACUGUAGCUCUUUCCACAUGUGAGGCUGAGUACAUUGCUUUGACAGCCACUACUCAAGAAAGCAUGUAUCUAACCCAACUGUUAAAUGGCAUUGACAACAAAAAGUACAGCUGUACAAAAAUCCAUGGUGAUAAUCAAGGGGCAAUCGCAUUGUGUAAAAAUCCUGUGAACAGACAGAGAUCUAAACAUAUUGAUGUAAAGUACCAUUUCAUACGUGAUGCGUUGAAAGAAGGGAAAAUCAAUGUGAUGUACUGUCCAUCUGAAAACAUGGUUGCCGACAUCCUUAACAAACCUGCACCCAAAGCUAAGUUUGUUAAAUUCAAAAAAUGGUUCUUUGGACACUAAAUACUGUGAAGCAAGGAUGAUGAGAACAAGGGGGAGUGUUGGAGUAUGUUCUCAAUCAGCCUUGUCUGUGUGAUGUUAUAUGUUUCUUUUAGCACUUUAUUUUGAUAGGCA
rnacentral:lncRNA from 1 species